rnacentral:rRNA from 1 species
GGCGGCAGGCCUCAUACAUGCAAGUCGAGCGCGCCCUUCGGGGUGAGCGGCGGACGGGUGAGUAACGCGUGGGAAUAUGCCCUUCUCUAAGGAAUAGCCUCUGGAAACGGAGAGUAAUACCUUAUACGCCCUUUGGGGGAAAGAUUUAUCGGAGAAGGAUUAGCCCGCGUUAGAUUAGGUAGUUGGUGGGGUAAUGGCCUACCAAGCCUACGAUCUAUAGCUGGUUUGAGAGGAUGAUCAGCCACACUGGGACUGAGACACGGCCCAGACUCCUACGGGAGGCAGCAGUAGGGAAUCUUAGACAAUGGGGGCAACCCUGAUCUAGCCAUGCCGCGUGUGUGAUGAAGGCCCUAGGGUCGUAAAGCACUUUCGCCAGAGAUGAUAAUGACAGUAUCUGGUAAAGAAACCCCGGCUAACUCCGUGCCAGCAGCCGCGGUAAUACGGAGGGGGUUAGCGUUGUUCGGAAUUACUGGGCGUAAAGCGCACGUAGGCGGAUUAGUAAGUUAGAGGUGAAAUCCCAGGGCUCAACCCUGGAACUGCCUUUAAUACUGCUAGUCUUGAGUUCGAGAGAGGUAAGUGGAAUUCCGAGUGUAGAGGUGAAAUUCGUAGAUAUUCGGAGGAACACCAGUGGCGAAGGCGGCUUACUGGCUCGAUACUGACGCUGAGGUGCGAAAGUGUGGGGAGCAAACAGGAUUAGAUACCCUGGUAGUCCACACCGU